rnacentral:rRNA from 1 species
GAUUAGAUACCCUGGUAGUCCACGCCGUAAACGAUGUCGACUUGGAGGUUGUUCCCUUGAGGAGUGGCUUCCGGAGCUAACGCGUUAAGUCGACCGCCUGGGGAGUACGGCCGCAAGGUUAAAACUCAAAUGAAUUGACGGGGGCCCGCACAAGCGGUGGAGCAUGUGGUUUAAUUCGAUGCAACGCGAAGAACCUUACCUACUCUUGACAUCCAGAGAACUUAGCAGAGAUGCUUUGGUGCCUUCGGGAGCUCUGAGACAGGUGCUGCAUGGCUGUCGUCAGCUCGUGUUGUGAAAUGUUGGGUUAAGUCCCGCAACGAGCGCAACCCUUAUCCUUUGUUGCCAGCGAUUCGGUCGGGAACUCAAAGGAGACUGCCGGUGAUAAACCGGAGGAAGGUGGGGAUGACGUCAAGUCAUCAUGGCCCUUACGAGUAGGGCUACACACGUGCUACAAUGGCGCAUACAAAGAGAAGCGACCUCGCGAGAGCAAGCGGACCUCAUAAAGUGCGUCGUAGUCCGGAUCGGAGUCUGCAACUCGACUCCGUGAAGUCGGAAUCGCUAGUAAUCGUGGAUCAGAAUGCCACGGUGAAUACGUUCCCGGGCCUUGUACACACCGCCCGUCACACCAUGGGAGUGGGUUGCAAAAGAAGUAGGUAGCUUAACCUUCGGGAGGGCGCUUACCACUUUGUGAUUCAUGACUGGGGUGAAGUCGUAACAAGG